rnacentral:tRNA from 1 species
CGUUGAUUUGGUUGGGUUUGCAGGCGAAGCGCUUGCACGGCUUCAUAAGCCCUAGGUCGCCGGUUCGAGUCCGGCCUCAGCCACCA